GGCUGCCAGACUCCUAUCAUUCAACUCUUCCCAAUCCAAUCGCCCAGUAUAAAUAAAGGCAAAAAAAUAAAUCAGAAGCCGAGUGUUUUUAAACGCACUAAAUGAAAGGCUGUAUUCAUGCCGCCUCCCUCAAAUGAAUCACCAGAUUAAAUGCGAGAUGUGAGCACCAAAUCAAUAACUGGAGACAGAGAUGUCUUGCCUGUUCUUCAGGAAAAUUCCAUUUCCUUUCAGAUGUUGUUGCUUGAAAUGUCAGGAAGUUUCCAUACAUCUCCACCCUUGACAAUGCCGCUGGUGCCGUCCAUCCUCCAGCUUUGCCUCCUUCCUUCAGGGAAACCCAGGCACCUUGCCAGAGAAAGCCCACAUGUCACAGCCUCCGAGAGCCUCGACAUAGGCAGGGUGUGGAGGGAAAGGCAUGGAGAGGUUGGGGUGAAAAACAAACAAACAAACAAACAAACAAACAACAAAACCCCCAAAUUAGAAUACCAAUGUUUUCUUCCGGUGCCUCAAAGAGACCACACUAUUGUGUGUACUACAGGUGGGCCACUGAGGCUAAUAGAAGAAAAUACAUUAGGGGGUUGAGAAGGGAACCUAAGUCUUGACCUUGAAGGUUCUCUGUGCUUCAUUGUUGUCUAAUAAAAUAGAAUAAAUACAAAUGCGGCACAUUAUGGUCUCUACACUGCCUCCCACGUGUUACAUAACCCUGGGCUGUAUAUGCAAUUCCCCGUACCUGAGCAUCUGGAUGUAUAAAUGGGGUCAUGGCAGCCAAGUGUUCAGCUGCUGUCACUGUUCAAAAUGCAAUCAAAAUGGAAUAUCUCAUUUCU
rnacentral:lncRNA from 1 species